rnacentral:tRNA from 1 species
GGAAGGGUCGCAUAGUGGUCUAGUGCGGCGGUUUCGAAAACCGCUGUGGGGCGUUUGCCUCACCGUGGGUUCAA